CAGCAGGUGUGGAGGAGGAAUGGGUUCUGGCCACAGAAGUAGACGGAACAAGAGAUCAAGCAGUGGUCCCCAGAGAAACAGCACUAGAUCACAUACCACUUUCAUAACAGCUUUCAGGUAGAACACCAAACAUCUUAGAAAUAUGCGAAAAAGACAACAGAGCUGAUUCUAUGCUUGACUUAUCAGAUCACUAUAACCCAAGCUCUCAAGAUUUGAGAACAUCACAGUAGUAAAGCCGGAGUGUGACUAGAUGAUCAACCCUGGUGAUUAAGUUGAAGAUGGACUUGGAAGGAAAAGAAACAGCUCAGGACUCUGUCACCAGGUGAGAGAUAAUGGGAGACCGACAGAAAGGAAAUGAGGAAGGACAAGAGAUCCAGUGAUGAGUGCCAGAGAGUGAAGAGUUCCCAGGGUGGAGCUGGCAACGCAAGAGGUGCCCUAAAGCCAGGAAUAAACUGCAGGGGUCCCAGCUGCAGGCAGUCUGUCUCUCCCAGGUCUCUCUUCCUUCACCCAUUUUCAACCCAGUCUUCCCUCCAGAUCAUCAAGAGCCAAACGAUAGCAUAAGUCACCACUAUUACCCAAGUUGCCACUGUGGCUUCCCAGUCCAGUAGUUUUUUCUUCCCUUUUCAAAGGAUGACCAAAGCUCACUGCUAUUCAAGUAUGGUCUUAAGAACCACAGCACCACCUGAGAGCUUGUCAGAAAUGCAAAUUCUUGGGUUCUACCUGACAACUACUGAAUCAAUCUCUCUCGGUGGAUGUCAGUAAUCUGUGUUUUAAUUAAUCUCCAGAAGAUUCCUAAUGCAUGCCUAAGUUUGAGAAGCAGUAAUACAGUUAACUUCCCCAAAUCAAAGCUUUUAAUCCCAUAUCCAUUUUGCACCACUGAAUGGAAACUCUAUUCCAGGUACACUUGCAAGACUAACAUGUAAAUUUACAAAUGUGCCUCAGUAAGAAAAACUCAGGAAGCCAUCAUUACUCUUAAGGAAACCACAUACACUUGAAUGAAUCACUUAAAUAGAAGCUUUUCAAGAUGCAACUAUUCCAAGUCAUUCUCAGAAAUGACUAUAAUCAAAAGUCAGAAACCAAUUUUCAGAUGAGUCCCUUACAGAUUUCGCCCCCAAAUAAAGAAAACGAAAAACUUAAUGAAACACCAAGAG